rnacentral:RNase_P_RNA from 1 species
UGAGUCGGCCGGGUGACCGCGGUGGCACUUCGGUGUUGCUGAGGAAGGUCGGGGCUCCACAGAGCAGGGUGCUGGCUAACGGCCAGUCGGGGCGACUCGAAGGAAAGUGCCACAGAGAACAGACCGCCGAUGGCCCGCUCUUCGGAGCGGGCACAGGCAAGGGUGAAACGGUGCGGUAAGAGCGCACCAGCACCCCGGGUGACCGGGGUGGCUCGGUAAACCCCACCCGGAGCAAGGUCAAGCAGAGAGAGGGCGGCUCGUCCGUGGACACUCUCGGGUUGACUGCACAGAUGGAUGGUCACCCAUGGCCGGCUCGAUUCCUCGGAGCAGGGCCGGCCGGGACAGAACCCCGCCUACAGGCCGACUCACCAC